rnacentral:rRNA from 1 species
UACGGAGGGUGCGAGCGUUGUCCGGAAUCACUGGGCGUAAAGGGCGCGUAGGCGGCCUGACAAGUGGAUGGUGAAAUCCCUCGGCUUAACCGAGGAACUGCCAUCCAGACUGUUUGGCUUGAGACCGGGAGAGGUGAGUGGAAUUCCCAGUGUAGCGGUGAAAUGCGUAGAUAUUGGGAGGAACACCAGUGGCGAAGGCGGCUCACUGGACCGGUACUGACGCUGAUGCGCGAAAGCGUGGGGAGCAAACGGG